UACGGGGGGGCAAGCGUUGUUCGGAAUUACUGGGCGUAAAGGGCUCGUAGGCGGCCAACUAAGUCAGACGUGAAAUCCCUCGGCUUAACCGGGGAACUGCGUCUGAUACUGGAUGGCUUGAGUUCGGGAGAGGGAUGCGGAAUUCCAGGUGUAGCGGUGAAAUGCGUAGAUAUCUGGAGGAACACCGGUGGCGAAGGCGGAUCUCUGGGCCUUACCUGACGCUCAGGUGCGAAAGCUAGGGGAGCGAACGGGG
rnacentral:rRNA from 1 species